CACGUAGGGUGCAAGCGUUGUCCGGAAUUAUUGGGCGUAAAGGGCUCGUAGGCGGUCCGUCACGUCGGGAGUGAAAACUCGGGGCUCAACCCCGAGCCUGCUUCCGAUACGGGCGGACUAGAGGUAUGCAGGGGAGAACGGAAUUCCUGGUGUAGCGGUGAAAUGCGCAGAUAUCAGGAGGAACACCGGUGGCGAAGGCGGUUCUCUGGGCAUGACCUGACGCUGAGGAGCGAAAGUGUGGGGAGCGAACAGG
rnacentral:rRNA from 1 species